CGAAAUCGGUAGACGCUACGGACUUGAAAAUCCGUCGAAUUUUUAAAUCGUGAGGGUUCAAGUCCCUCUAUCCCCA
rnacentral:tRNA from 1 species